CUAGUACUCCCUCUGUUUCGAAUUACUUGUCUUGGAUUUGUCUAGAUACGGGUGUAUCUAGACUCAUUUUAGUGUUAGAUACAUCCGUAUCUAGAUAAAUCUAAGACAAGUAAUUCAGAACGGAGGGAUACUAG
rfam:Triticum aestivum genome assembly, contig: Triticum_aestivum_CS42_TGACv1_scaffold_224704_3B